AUUGAACGCUGGCGGCAUGCCUUACACAUGCAAGUCGAACGGUAACAGGUCUUCGGACGCUGACGAGUGGCGAACGGGUGAGUAAUGCAUCGGAACGUGCCCAGUCGUGGGGGAUAACUGCUCGAAAGAGCAGCUAAUACCGCAUACGACCUGAGGGUGAAAGCGGGGGACCGUAAGGCCUCGCGCGAUUGGAGCGGCCGAUGUCAGAUUAGCUAGUUGGUGGGGUAAAGGCCUACCAAGGCAACGAUCUGUAGUUGGUCUGAGAGGACGACCAGCCACACUGGGACUGAGACACGGCCUAGACUCCUACGGGAGGCAGCAGUGGGGAAUUUUGGACAAUGGGCGCAAGCCUGAUCCAGCAAUGCCGCGUGCAGGAAGAAGGCCUUCGGGUUGUAAACUGCUUUUGUCAGGGAAGAAAUCUUCUGGGCUAAUACCCCGGGAGGAUGACGGUACCUGAAGAAUAAGCACCGGCUAACUACGUG
rnacentral:rRNA from 1 species